rnacentral:lncRNA from 1 species
UUACCUUGAAUAUUAUUAUUAUUAUCUUUUGACACUUUAUUCAAGGUAUAAUAUUCCAAGGGGACAAAACACUAUUCAUGGUUGAAUUUAUACAAAGAUAAGAUUCUCCAACAAACUCUAUCCAAGAAAAACACUAUUCAAGAUAAGAUCAAAGACAAAGCUUGGAUUUUUGUGAGAAAUCAAGGAGCCAUCCAUUGAAGAUCCAAGGGUGGACAUUGAGUGGCCAAGGCUAUAAAUAGAAGGGUAAACCCCGGCCCUCAUUUUCACUCACCACACUACAAGCAAACUCAAGAGCUUUCACUCCACACUUGCCCACACGUUUUUGCCUCCAAGCUUCCAAGCUUUCAAGUGCUCAAGUGUCCUAGCUUUCCAAAGCUUCAAAAGCUGUCCAACUUCUUCUUCUAAUCUUCUUGUUCAUCUUUACAAGUAAGAAGUGUUGUUUGCUUUAAUAUUCCACUCCUCUAAUCACCUCUUGUGUGUGUCCACUUUGGUUGAGAGGGUUGUCUCAAUAGUACCAAAGUGUGAGAGAAGGUUUGUGAGCUCAACCAUAAAGCUCUAGUUUGGUUUUAUAGAGUUUCCGGGAAAACUCUUAGGUUGAGUCUACCUUUAAAGAUUUCAGAGGUUUUUAAGAGUUCCUUGAUACUCUAAGGUACUAACUUAUCCGUAAAAGUUAGAGGUUCUUAAGAGUGCCCUUGAUACUCUAAGGUGUGAGUCUACCCGUAAAAGACUGGUUCCUAAACGAAGUAGCCUUAAAGCUUAGAGAGGUUUUUAAGAGUUCCUUGAUACUCUAAGGUACUAACUUACCCGUAAAAGUUAGAGGUUCUUAAGAGUGCCCUUGAUACUCUAAGGUGUGAGUCUACCCGUAAAAGACUGGUUCCUAAGCGAAGUAGCCUUAAAGCUUAGAGAGGUUCUUAAGAGUUUCCUUGAUACUCUAAGGUUUUGCAAUUACCUUUAGGCGAGUGAAUUCCGACAGUUGGUCGGGACUGGACUAGCCCUUGUUUGGGUGAACCAGUAUAAAUCUCUUGUGUUGUUCUCUGUUAAUUAUAGUUUUAUCUUUUAUUUAAAAACAACACUUAAUUAAAAAGAUCCCUCUUCCAGUUAUCUGGUCAAACACAGAGGUUGACUACUUUACGCAGAUCCCUCAUCCAGUUAUCUGGUCAACUAUCUGAGGUUAUAUUCAUUGCUUUAAAUCCUUAUAUUUGUUCAAGUAUUACUUAUCAUAUUUAUCCAGUUAUCUGGUCACUUACUUGUUUAUCAACUUAUCCAGUUAUCUGGUCACUUACUUGUUUAUCAAUAUAUCCAGUUAUCUGGUCAUUUACUUGCGUAUCAAUAUAUCCAGUUAUCUGGUCAUUUACUCUACAAUACAAUUUGUGUUUCCAAUAUAACUUAGUAUUCAUAUACUAUAGUUGUGUGUAAAACACUAUCAAGCAAGUUGACUCAGUAUUCAUAUAUUGUAGUAAGCUUCGAAGAGUAAUACUUACAUUAUUAUAUCAAUCAAAAUCAUAAUAUCCUUAUAUCAUUACUGUUCAACCAUUUGUUUAUUAAGCAUUUACAGAUAAUUCCGCAAUCAACCUGUAUAAAUCGAAAAGAUGCUAUUACCCCCCCUUAUAGCCUCGGAUCACGAUCCAACAAGUGUUUGUGAAUCUUGUAUCAUUGGUAAAAUUUCACCUUAACCUCAUAAAACCAGAUCUAUCAAAUACAAAGAUCCAUUGUAAUUAAUCUUUACUGAUAUCUGGGGACCAGCUCCGUGCACCUCAGAGGAAGGG